rfam:Candidate divison MSBL1 archaeon SCGC-AAA385M11 AAA385M11_Contig_5_C, whole genome shotgun sequence.
CCAAUCCGCCCGGGUAAGCGGCCAGCGCCCGGAACCGAGUGUUGCGCGGCCUGGAGUAAUCCAUGCCGUGAAGCGUACACAGGGAAUCAAUGGGCCGUGUGAUUGAGCCUCGAAAUCUGAUACAUCGUGGGAGCCGACUCCGUCUGACUCGAGGAAGGCAACAUCUUGGUGCUUAAGGCAUUGCAUCAAGGUCCCACCGGGGUCUAAGAGCA